rnacentral:rRNA from 1 species
UAACGCGUGGGUAACCUGCCCUAUACACAUGGAUAACAUACUGAAAAGUUUACUAAUACAUGAUAAUAUAUAUUUACGGCAUCGUAGAUAUAUCAAAGUGUUAGCGGUAUAGGAUGGACCCGCGUCUGAUUAGCUAGUUGGUGAGAUAACUGCCCACCAAGGCGGCGAUCAGUAGCCGACCUGAGAGGGUGAUCGGCCACAUUGGAACUGAGACACGGUCCAAACUCCUACGGGAGGCAGCAGCG